rnacentral:rRNA from 1 species
UGGGGAAUAUUGCACAAUGGGCGAAAGCCUGAUGCAGCAACGCCGCGUGAGUGAUGAAGGUCUUCGGAUUGUAAAGCUCUGUCUUUUGGGACGAUAAUGACGGUACCAAAGGAGGAAGCCACGGCUAACUACGUGCCAGCAGCCGCGGUAAUACGUAGGUGGCGAGCGUUGUCCGGAUUUACUGGGCGUAAAGGGUGCGUAGGCGGAUGUUUAAGUGAGAUGUGAAAUACCCGGGCUUAACUUGGGUGCUGCAUUUCAAACUGGAUAUCUAGAGUGCAGGAGAGGAGAAUGGAAUUCCUAGUGUAGCGGUGAAAUGCGUAGAGAUUAGGAAGAACACCAGUGGCGAAGGCGAUUCUCUGGACUGUAACUGACGCUGAGGCACGAAAGCGUGGGUAGCAAACAGGAUUAGAUACCCUGGUAGUCCACGCCGUAAACGAUGAGUACUAGGUGUAGGAGGUAUCGACCCCUUCUGUGCCGCAGUAAACACAUUAAGUACUCCGCCUGGGAAGUACGAUCGCAA